UUAAAUCCCAUGGGAUAUUUGUUGUCCCAUGGGACAAAAAAAAAUCCCAUGGGACUAUAAUUAUCCCAUGGGACAAAUUA
rnacentral:sRNA from 1 species